rnacentral:rRNA from 1 species
UGAUCCUGGCUCAGAACGUACGCUGGCGGCACGCCUAACACAUGCAAGUCGAACGAAGUAGCAAUACUUAGUGGCAGACGGGUGAGUAACAUGUAGGUAUCUGCCCUUUGGCCUGGAAUAACACGAGGAAACUUGUGCUAAUACCGGAUAAGUCUUUACGGAGAAAGCUUUAUGCACCAUUGGAUGAGCCUGCACUUGAUUAGUUUGUUGGUGGGGUAAUGGCCUACCAAGACUGUGAUCAAUAGCUGAUUUGAGAGGAUGAUCAGCCACAUUGGGACUGAGACACGGCCCAAACUCCUACGGGAGGCAGCAGUGGGGAAUCUUGCACAAUGGAGGAAACUCUGAUGCAGCGAUGCCGCGUGAGUGAAGAAGGCCUUUGGGUUGUAAAGCUCUUUCGUCGGGGAAGAAAAUGACUGUACCCGAAUAAGAAGGUCCGGCUAACUUCGUGCCAGCAGCCGCGGUAAUACGAAGGGACCUAGCGUAGUUCGGAAUUACUGGGCUUAAAGAGUUCGUAGGUGGUUGAAAAAGUUAGUGGUGAAAUCCCAGAGCUUAACUCUGGAACUGCCAUUAAAACUUUUCAGCUAGAGUAUGAUAGAGGAAAGCAGAAUUUCUAGUGUAGAGGUGAAAUUCGUAGAUAUUAGAAAGAAUACCAAUUGCGAAGGCAGCUUUCUGGAUCAUUACUGACACUGAGGAACGAAAGCAUGGGUAGCGAAGAGGAUUAGAUACCCUCGUAGUCCAUGCCGUAAACGAUGUGUGUUAGACGUUGGAAAUUUAUUUUCAGUGUCGCAGCGAAAGCGAUAAACACACCGCCUGGGGAGUACGACCGCAAGGUUAAAACUCAAAUGAAUUGACGGGGACCCGCACAAGUAGUGGAGCAUGUGGUUUAAUUCGAAGAUACGCGCAGAACCUUACCAACACUUGACAUGUUCGUCGCGACUCUAAGAGAUUAGAGUUUUCGGUUCGGCCGGACGAAACACAGGUGCUGCAUGGCUGUCGUCAGCUCGUGUCGUGAGAUGUUGGGUUAAGUCCCGCAACGAGCGCAACCCUCACUUUUAGUUGCCAUCAUUAAGUUGGGCACUCUGAAAGAACUGCCAGUGAUAAGCUGGAGGAAGGUGGGGAUGACGUCAAGUCCUCAUGGCCCUUACGUGUUGGGCUACACACGUGCUACAAUGGUAUCUACAACAGGAAGCAAGACUGCGAAGUUAAGCAAAUCCCUAAAAGAUACCUCAGUUCGGAUUGCACUCUGCAACUCGAGUGCAUGAAGCUGGAAUUACUAGUAAUCGUGGAUCAGCGUGCCACGGUGAAUGCGUUCCCGGGUCUUGUACACACCGCCCGUCACACCAUGGGAGUUGGUUCUACCUUAAGGCAAGGUUUCAAACCCUUGACCACGGUAUAGUCAGCGACUGGGGUGAAGUCGUAACAAGGUAACC